UACGAGGGGGGCAAGCGUUGCUCGGAAUUAUUGGGCGUAAAGGGCGCGUAGGCGGUCGUGUGCGUCGGAGGUGAAAUCCCCGGGUUUAACCCGGGAGCUGCCUCCGAUACGGCAUGGCUUGAGUCCGGGAGAGGGGAGCAGAAUUCCCAGUGUAGCGGUGAAAUGCGUAGAUAUUGGGAGGAAUACCGGUGGCGAAGGCGGCUCCCUGGACCGGUACUGACGCUGAGACGCGAAAGCGUGGGGAGCAAACAGG
rnacentral:rRNA from 1 species